GGGGUCGACUGGUUUUGACAGCAGGCCGAAACAGACAGUAAGCACGUCGGGAAAUGAGGCUGUUCCCGUAUAUCAUUGCCUUAAACAUUUAAACGGCGAAAAUAACUACGCUCUUGCUGCUUAAUCUGAAUUAUAGUAAGAAUUAGCCACGUCCCUGCAAGGCAGGGAGGCGGGAUUCUCCUGAAAAGCCCCGGUAUGCGGCGUUUCGAUUAGGAGAACCGUAAAUGUAUACCUGGAUGCCUUUCCGCUUCGUGGGGGCAUCGAGACUAAGAAGCUAAGUAGUGUGUGGCAGUUUCCGGCCUUGCACACUAACGAAAACCCAAGCGGAAACUAAGCGUGUAGAAAGCUCUUUGCUUCCCUGUUUGGACCCGGGUUCGAUUCCCGGCGAUUCCACGA
rnacentral:tmRNA from 1 species